AGUGAACGCUGGCGGUAGGCCUAACACAUGCCAGUCGAACGGCAGCACAGUAAGAGCUUGCUCUUACGGGUGGCGAGUGGCAGACGGGUGAGGAAUACAUCGGAAUCUACUUUUUCGUGGGGGAUAACGUAGGGAAACUUACGCUAAUACCGCAUACGACCUACGGGUGAAAGCAGGGGAUCUUCGGACCUUGCGCGAUUGAAUGAGCCGAUGUCGGAUUAGCUAGUUGGCGGGGUAAAGGCCCACCAAGGCGACGAUCCGUAGCUGGUCUGAGAGGAUGAUCAGCCACACUGGAACUGAGACACGGUCCAGACUCCUACGGGAGGCAGCAGUGGGGAAUAUUGGACAAUGGGCGCAAGCCUGAUCCAGCCAUACCGCGUGGGUGAAGAAGGCCUUCGGGUUGUAAAGCCCUUUUGUUGGGAAAGAAAAGCAGCAGGUUAAUACCCCGCUGUUCUGGCGGUACCCAAAGAAUAAGCACCGGCUAACUUCGUG
rnacentral:rRNA from 1 species